GGGUCCGCCCGCCGAUUGGACAACAUUCAAACCCUUUGCAGUUGCAAUCAGCGUCUGAAAAAACAUAAUAGUUACAACUUUCAACAACGGAUCUCUUGGUUCUGGCAUCGAUGAAGAACGCAGCGAAAUGCGAUAAGUAGUGUGAAUUGCAGAAUUCAGUGAAUCAUCGAAUCUUUGAACGCACAUUGCGCCCCUUGGUAUUCCAUGGGGCAUGCCUGUUCGAGCGUCAUUUGUACCUUCAAGCUCUGCUUGGUGUUGGGUGUUUGUCUCGCCUCUGCGUGUAGACUCGCCUUAAAACAAUUGGCAGCCGGCGUAUUGAUUUCGGAGCGCAGUACAUCUCGCGCUUUGCACUCACAACGACGACGUCCAAAAGUACAUUUUUACACUCUUGACCUCGGAUCAGGUAGGGAUACCCGCUGAA
rnacentral:rRNA from 1 species